AAUGGUGUCUAUAGCAAGAGAGAUACACCUGAUCCCAUUCCGAACUCAGCAGUUAAGCCUCUUAGCGGCGAUGGUAUUGCAUGCGCAAGCGUGUGAAAGAGUAGCACGACGCCAGUC
rnacentral:rRNA from 2 species